GUGACCUCUGAGCCAAGUCGUGCCCAAACUGAACCCAUCUCCAGGCCGAUGUAUCCAGCCCCAACAACCACAAGUUUCUUAGGAAUUUCUGACAAAGCUAAAGCUCCAGUUGACGAUACAAUUCUCUUCUCAUCAAUGGUGAUCCCAGGUAGAGACUUCACAUCAGAACCAGUAGCAAUAAUUAUAUUUUUCCCCUUCACAACAGCAUUACCACCUUCAAUGGUGUCCACAGAAACUUCUGAUGGGGAGAUGAAUUUCCCAUAGCCUUUGACGUAGUUCACUUUAUUUUUCUUAAAUAGACCUUCAAUACCUCGAGUAAGAUUAGCUACAGCUUUAUCCUUCUGGCCCAUCAUGGCAGGUAGAUCAACCUCAACAGAUGGGAACUUCACACCAUGGCUGGCAAAUGAAUGCUUGGCUUCAUGGUACAUGUGGGAGGAAUGAAGAAGGGC
rnacentral:lncRNA from 1 species